GGCUCCAUAGUGUAGUGGUUAGUACAUCUGCUUUACACACAGAAGGUCCUGAGUCAGUGCCCCAGGUGGAGCCA
rnacentral:tRNA from 1 species